GCCAAAAUUUAGUCCCGCUUCUACUGGGCCGGCGAUCAUAAUAAACAGAAAUACCACAUGGUGAGCUGGCCUAACAUCUGUAAGCCUAGGGAUCAAGGAGGCCUCGGGAUCAUGUGCUCCAAACGCAUGAAUAUCGCCCUUCUUUCCCGUUGGCUCUGGCGGAUUUUGCAGGGCCAGGGGGGUCUCUGGCUUGACAUCAUUCGGAACAAAUAUUUGCGAGGCCAACCCCUCGCGUUUUGUCAGAGAUCUGGUGGCUCUCAGUUCUAG
rnacentral:rRNA from 1 species